CCAGUUGUCCCACUCUUAAACUGACAUCAGCUGAUUCGGCACGGCAGUGACAGCGGGACUGCGUUCCCGCCAAGAAAGACCCGAAAGGGUUUGAUCCUAUGAUGGAGGAAGACAUGGACUGACCCAGGAAACUGAAGCUGGUUGGAUUCAUGAGGGACGUAUAAGGGUAGCUGUGGGUUGUAACCAACACCUCUUUGAUUAUGGCGUGACUAGUUUUGCACUCAGUAGACUAGGGAUUGUGACUGGACUUGUGAAUGGACACUUGUCCACAUGAAUGAGAGCCACAAUAGCUUCCUAACCAUUAUAUAGACCCUGUUUUCAAUUAAAGUCAUCGAGCCAGGUA
rnacentral:lncRNA from 1 species